GAGAGAGAGCUGCCAUUAGAUGGAAACCUAUAUAAGAAAGAGCCAGGAACAUGAGUGGGAGCAACGAAGCUGAGUAUAAUAACUGGCCGCUGCUAAAGGUAGACUAAGGGCGUAGGUGAAGACCUAGCAGAGGGCGAGCUGCGGCUUCCGGCCGUCGAGCUGCAACUACUUCCUGCCAACGUCCUCAUCCAUAUCUACGUCCCCUCACUUCACACCACCUUGUCACUGACCUUUUCAUGACAGAGAUAUACAAAAACUGAGAUGGAAUCCAGUUGACAUAAGAUAUUCAGCCAAACAAACUGUUAGUGACUUCUUCAGAAAAAGAGAUGUACAUCAAAGUAAGCAGAGCUUCUAGCAGAAACAUCAUAUACAGGUACAUGCUGAUCACAAAACUGGGAGUUUUAUGUGAGAACGGAACCUGGCAAUCUAUAUCAAAAAGAUAUCUUAACUGAAAAUUUAAGCAACACAAGAAUAUCACACUUGAGUGGUUAUAAUUACUUACGGAUUCAGAUUCUUACUUUUCUUGUAGAGGCCUACUAUCCUUAAUUACUUGGAGCAAAUUUAACUUAGACCAAAUAUCUAAGAGUAAGCUUUGGUUGAUGCAAAGGUCUGAAGCUUUUAGCAUUCUAUAAAGGGCUUAUGAUUGUGCAAAAGUUACAGCUAUAGGAAUUACGUAACCACAAACCAACAGGAUAUAUACAAAGUAACCACUGCCACCUUGUCGAACCCCACUCCGCCGGUCCUCUUCCUCGUCGGCCCUGGCGUAAGAUGGUUAACAUGGUUAACGUCACAAAAGGGCAUGGAUGUUCCCUUGUUUAGUAUCUGAAACAUGUUUAUCCCGAGGAUAGUAAAACAAGGCUUCAUACCUGUAACAACGAAAGAUGGCACAGAAGUCGAGAACUAAAUUUUUCACAGAAAAAAUAGAACAAACUUAUGCACACAUAAACAAUACACAGAAGAUUAACAGAAGAGCCCUCAGUUACUCUGUGGUGUGCAAACCAAAAUGCAAGUUAGCUUAUUUUCAGUUUACUCUGUGGUGUGCAAACCAAAUAAGGAAUGCACCAUACACAAUACACAGAAGAUUAACAAGUAUAAACUGAAUAGUUCCAUCUGCCUAAUGCAAAGAAGCACAUUUUUCUAUAUUUAGCUACAUCUCCCAGAUUCAGUAACAAACUUAUGCACACAUAAGCCUUGUUAAAUGAAAGUAGUCGCAAAAUCAUUAAUUAGGAGACAAAAUAAUUUUCUGGAACUUGUGGCAUGGUGCACUAAAAUGGGCAGCCUGACGUCCUGCUUGUGACAUGACGCCCAAGAAACGGUAAUUUUGUUCCACUAUUAGGAAAGAAACAGAGAAAUAGCACUUCAAAGAAAGAAAACUAAAUGACUAAUGUUUGUGUAGUGUGCAGGCCUCGGUGUGCGCACCUCCUGAGACUUAUAGCAACAACAUCAUACAGAUAUGAUGUAUCAGGAGCAAUUGUUUUCCUCUAGUUACCAUUUUAUUCAGUAUUUUGUCCAAUCUCAAAAUCUGAGAUAUGCCCGUAUCCAACUAUUAAUAAGUUAACUUGCAACUGUUGGCACAAAAAAGAUGCAGCUUGAUAACAGAAGAGCCCUCAGUUAUCCGCUUUUGAUGAAGGUCAGCAGUAGCGGGGCGUGGCGGCGGGCCGGCGGCCAUGCCCGAGCACCCGGCGUCCGCAGAGCCGAGGAGGAAAAGACGAGCGAGUGUGGUGGAUGCGUGCACCAUGGAUGACCUCCUUUCCUCCAUGGUCCACCGCCUCCAGGCAUCCGCCUCAUCGGCCGAUCUGGUUGACAGGCAGAGCAAAAAGGAGCAUGGCGGCCAUGGCGUGGGCGCGAUCAAGCAAACUUUUGGAAGAGGGGAACAGAGGCGCGGCAUUGAAUAGACAUAUACCUGAAAGUGAACAUUUGUUGACUUGAUAAGUUGAGCGUUGAAGCAGAAAUCGUAGAUCAUGCUAAAGAAUUAGCUCCUCUCUGUCAAAAUGUUAGGGAAAAGGUCACACGAUUAGCUCAUGUGUAUCAAAUUUUAGGUAAGUAUGUCUUGUACUGUAUUAAGUCAACAUGCUACAAAAUUUAACCAAAAAUUAUAACAGGAUGCAAAAUCAAAGGAGGUGUACAAGGAGGGAAAGGUAGCAAUGAUAUAUCUCUACCCAAUUUUGAACUUACCUAUCAACAUAAGACAUUAUCUUAAUAAUGGGCAGAUUCUGCAAGCAAACCAUUUUUCGCAAGAAAGGGGUAAAAUCAAGCAGUUUACACAACUACAAAUGAUUUUCAGCCAAGCAGAUGAAAAAAGGACAAAAUUACCCAUGAUUAAAAGAUAUAAUUAUUAAAGUUUUCACUGAGACCAUGAUAUAAUCUAUAAAAGUUAAAGUAUCUAGUUGUCAGGAAACCUGUCUUUGAUAUGACUGAUAAUGGUGAAGGUGUAACCUUAGAAACUGCUUCAGUGUCCAAAAAAAUUCAGAUAGAUCUGUACUCAAUUGUCAUUAAGCCUUUUACAUGGUUAGUAGAAUUCCUUGUGAUAUAUAAUGCGACUAAUUACUCUCACAGUUAAAACAGGAGAUAUCAAGUCCAAGGAAGCACAUGAGGUCAAGUGCAAGCAUGGAAUCACUGCCUAUUGUUCUUAAUUAAAACCAAAAUCAGUAAAAAAAAAAGUAGCACUGCAGAGGACCUUCAAGUUAUAUUUCUCAUGAGCAGCUUCCAACACUGAAACCCCAAUAAGAGCAUUAAUAAUCUUUUCGUCGCCAGCAUUGACACCCCAAUACGAACAAAUGUCACAUAUAUCCUGCAAAGUAAAUUCCUGUUAUUGGUACUGAAUUGCCAAUGGGGUGACAAAACAAUAUAAUUUUCAACCAAAAGAAUGCACUACCCAUCAGAUAUUAAGCAGUAAAUCAGCUCAAGAGAAAAGGGCAUGGAAUCCUGACCAGAUGAUUAAGUUCUGGUAUAAACUGCAGGUACCACAAACUCAAGCCAAUACAACGAUAUGCAAGAAUCAUGUGGAGAUGACGAGAGAAGAAAUAAAAGGAAACUCACAGGAAGUGCAGAUCAUGGUGAGAGAGAGAGAAAAGGACCUGUAGGUCGAGCAGAUGCCGUCGGAAUCAGAAAAACCAGAGAGGAGGACGACCUCAUGUGGACGAAAUUUCAACAACAAAAAACUGUGCAAAUCUGAAGUAUCACAAUUAAAUUUUUAGUCUGUUGUUUAAAUCUGUACAUUACAUGACCAAUGUAUAAUAGUACCCUACCUUCUUCUAAAUGGCUCUUAUGAUUCUUUUAGAGUGCAGACCAAUGAGAUUAACUAAUUCCAUUAGAGACGACAAUAGCAGCAAGAAAGCAUCAUAGUUCAAGUUAUGCAACUACCAACCUGUGUUUUAUUGAAACAGAAGAAACUUAGCUUAAGUAUACAACUUCCAGACUACAGAAGCAGCAAAAAGCAUCAUGGUUUAGGCUUUGCAACUACCAAAAUGUGAUCUCAUGCGAAAAAGGACAAUAAAUUGUUCAGCUUAGCUUCAUGUUUCAGCUUACACAACUACCAAAAUGUCAGUCUAAGCCAUUGUUUAAUGCUUUCAGGAAAAGGAUUACGAGAAAGGUCACCCAUUAAUGUGAUUCAGAUCCAGCCUACCACAAGGUCAGAGAAGUUAAUCGUCAUUCACGUUGGCAUCAUCCGCUGCACCGUUUUGCUCCUGCAGUACUGUUUUUUAUUUCUUUCAAAAAAGUACUGAUUUUUAUCUAGUUUCUUCUGUUAUGCUCCAGGCUUCAUUUUUUUGAUUUUGAAGAUUGCAGGUAGCAGAGAAAUUAGCUAAAGACCUUAACGAUGCAGAUCCUAAACCAGUAGUGCUAACUGCUGACCGAUGCCAAUAAAUUAACUACCACUAUUUUCUUCCCCCAAAAAACCCACAAACAUUUAACCAAAGCAUCAAAUUCGUCACCCAAAUUACCCUAAACACAUAAGAACAACAGUUCAGACUUCAGUAAAUGCUACAACACCCAGCGGCAAUCAAAUUUAAACAUCCAUAGUGCAUACUUCAUAGGCACUGAUCCUAAUAAAGAUAUCUUGCUAGUCUGCUACUGUAAAAAAAACAUGCAUUUAAGUUAGAUCCGCCCAUGAAUACAGGUAAGGAUCCAUGACAACCAAAACUGAACCAAGCUUUUUCUACUUCAUUUUGAACCUCAAUCAAGACUUUUCCUUUUUGAAACUCAAUCAAACCACGAAAGAUUGACAAUGUGAGGAACUAAGGAAGAGGAAUUGAGGACUUACCAUAUUGGAGUCUUGGAGAUGGACGAGAUGAGUAGUGAACUGACACGCUCGCCAGCCGCUACAGAAGACACCUCGCCGGCGCACCCAACACUGCGGAGGCUGCCCGAG
rnacentral:lncRNA from 1 species